rnacentral:lncRNA from 1 species
CCAUGGCAACGGACGCCGGGUUCGUGACUCCCACCGCCCCGGGAGCCGCUCGGCUGGAGGUGUCACUGCCCAGCAGGCAUGGCCCAGGCUCCGACAGGGAACCUGAAGGAGGCGUUCAGGACGCAGCUGUGCUGGAAGCUCGUCAAGAACCUCGCCGUUAUUGAACAAUACCAGAGCCACCCCAGAUAUACCAUUUCAGAUGAUCUAAAAGUUGGCUUUUUCACCACAGACCAUGCUACCCAAACAGAUACCAAUGAGAUUUUGCCAGUAAAAGAAUUAAGUUCAUCUACACAAAAGUUAAUUCAGGUUAUUACAGCCCUUCAGGUGGAUUUUAGGUUCCUUAAAGAACUGGUUCAGUUGAAGUUUGAGGACAGUCUUCAAGAAGAGUCUUCAAAAAUCGUCGUUGCUCUCCAGGACAGGAUCUUAGAGAUGGAAAAGCACUAUCAACAGAAUGAGGAGAAUAUGAGAAAAUGCUUUCAGCAGCAGUUAGCUGAUGCCAUCGCCGUCGUCAAAGGAAUGUACCAGCAAUAUUUUGAUGUAGAGGAAGAAAAAACUUCUUUGCAAGAUGCAGAAAAUGUCAAGUUGGGUGUUUUGUCAAGAAAACUGAAAGAGAAAGAAGAAAUUAUCAAUGAAUUAAGAGAGCAACUAGAACAAUGUGAAGGAUUUGAAAAACUUGACACUUUUGCCGAGGCCAGCUCUUCCAAAUUAAACUUAGAAAGGGAAAACUGGGAGCACAGAACGGAAAACGAGAGACUGCUCAAAGUCAUUUCGGAUCUUGAAGAAGAACUCAAACUCAGUGUAAAAGAAAAUUCAAUAUUAGAAGAUGAACUUAUAAGUCUGAAAGAGAUCUCAGAGAAGAAUCAGAAAACUAUUCAAAAGUUAACAGAUGCUAGAGACAGAUUAAGAUACGAGCUUGAUAGUGAAAAAGUAUUAGUUCAAGAUAUGCACCCUGUGUUUUGGGUUCCUUGUCAUAGAAAUUAAUGCAAAACAAUGCUCCUGGAUUACAAUAAAGCCUUCUAUGAAACCAACUCGGGGAUGCAGGCAACGGGGAAAAAUUAUAGCCAGCUAUUCACAAAAACCAUGCAUUAACAAAUAUGUCAUUUUGAACGUUUUGCUUUUAAGUACCUGGCAUACAAAAAUAAAUAAUCGCUGU